CAGUAGCCGCGGGAAUACGAAGGGUGCAAGCGUUAAUCGGAAUUACUGGGCGUAAAGCGUGCGCAGGCGGUUCGGAAAGAAAGAUGUGAAAUCCCAGGGCUCAACCUUGGAACUGCAUUUUUAACUACCGGACUAGAGUAUGUCAGAGGGAGGUGGAAUUCCACGUGUAGCAGUGAAAUGCGUAGAGAUGUGGAGGAACACCGAUGGCGAAGGCAGCCCCCUGGGCCAAUACUGACGCUCAUGCACGAAAGCGUGGGGAGCAAACAGGAUUAGAUACCCCCGUAGUCCCUGUCUCUUAUAC
rnacentral:rRNA from 1 species